GCUAUCAUGCAGUCGAGGGGCAGCGCAGUGUAGCAAUACAUGGGCGGCGACCGGCAAACGGGUGCGGAACACGUACACAACCUUCCUUUAAGCGGGGAAUAGCCCGGGGAAACCCGGAUUAAUACCCCAUAGUACGUCGAGAGGGCAUCCUCUUGAUUUUAAAGAUUUAUCACUUAAAGAUGGGUGUGCGGCUGAUUAGGUAGUUGGCGGGGUAACGGCCCACCAAGCCUACGAUCAGUAACUGGUGUGAGAGCACGACCAGUCACACGGGCACUGAGACACGGGCCCGACUCCUACGGGAGGCAGCAGUAAGGAAUAUUGGUCAAUGGACGAAAGUCUGAACCAGCCAUGCCGCGUGGAGGAUGAAGGUCCUCUGGAUUGUAAACUUCUUUUAUAUGGGACGAAAAAGGGUCUUUCUAGACCAACUGACAGUACCAUGUGAAUAAGCACCGGCUAACUCCGUGCCAGCAGCCGCGGUAAUACGGAGGGUGCAAGCGUUAUCCGGAUUCACUGGGUUUAAAGGGUGCGUAGGUGGGUUGGUAAGUCAGUGGUGAAAUCCCCGAGCUUAACUUGGGAACUGCCAUUGAUACUAUCAGUCUUGAAUACCGUGGAGGUCAGCGGAAUAUGUCAUGUAGCGGUGAAAUGCUUAGAUAUGACAUAGAACACCAAUUGCGAAGGCAGCUGGCUACACGAAUAUUGACACUGAGGCACGAAAGCGUGGGGAUCAAACAGGAUUAGAUACCCUGGUAGUCCACGCCCUAAACUAUGGAUACUCGACAUACGCGAUACACUGUGUGUGUCUGAGCGAAAGCGUUAAGUAUCCCACCUGGGAAGUACGAUCGCAAGAUUGAAACUCAAAGGAAUUGGCGGGGGGUCCGCACCAAGCGGUGGAGCAUGUGGGUUUAAUUUCGAUGAUACCCC
rnacentral:rRNA from 1 species